rnacentral:piRNA from 1 species
UGUGCACCACGUGUGUGCCUGUUCCAGUCU